rnacentral:ncRNA from 2 species
UGAUGAAAAAUACUAAAGGAAAGCAGGGUGUAAAUCCCUCACUGUACCGCAACGGUAAAAGUCCGAGCGCUUUAGUAUCU